rnacentral:rRNA from 1 species
AUUGAACGCUGGCGGCAUGCUUUACACAUGCAAGUCGAACGGUAACAGGCCGCAAGGUGCUGACGAGUGGCGAACGGGUGAGUAAUACAUCGGAACGUGCCCGAGAGUGGGGGAUAACGAGGCGAAAGCUUUGCUAAUACCGCAUACGAUCUCAGGAUGAAAGCAGGGGACCGCAAGGCCUUGCGCUCACGGAGCGGCCGAUGGCAGAUUAGGUAGUUGGUGGGAUAAAAGCUUACCAAGCCGACGAUCUGUAGCUGGUCUGAGAGGACGACCAGCCACACUGGGACUGAGACACGGCCCAGACUCCUACGGGAGGCAGCAGUGGGGAAUUUUGGACAAUGGGCGCAAGCCUGAUCCAGCCAUGCCGCGUGCAGGAUGAAGGCCUUCGGGUUGUAAACUGCUUUUGUACGGAACGAAAAGACUCUGGUUAAUACCUGGGGUCCAUGACGGUACCGUAAGAAUAAGCACCGGCUAACUACGUGCCAGCCGCCGCAGUAAAAC